AUUCCAUUUCCCUAAACUACACUUCACCCAUCUUUUUCCACCAUAAUACCAGACCCACUUCUCCAAGCUAAGUCCUUGUUCACAUUAAUCUUCAAUAUAUCCCACCAAAUUGUCAUCACCGUCCAUACCCUCAAUCUAACUCAACACCCGGUCUUUUUCUUGGAACGAAUACCAGGAUCAUCAAUGACUUCAAAACCCAUGAUUCUAAGAAUUCCGCAUCAUCAUUUUUCCACUUCUCCAUCUCCAAACUUAGCGACUCGUGUCACCCGAACCCAUUUCCAUGCCUCCUUGUCUGUAAAUCAACAACCCUUUUAGAUAGCUCAAAUAAAAGAACCAUUCAAUCAUCUAUAGUCAUAUUAGUGAUAAUAUGAAAAGCAACAGUCUAGCAAAUGGUGUGUGUACUUAAAUGAUCUAAGAAGGAAGAAGAAAUGGCAGAAAUUGCAGUUGGCCUCGUUAUUGAGAAUUUGGUCCGGUUGUUAGUCCAUGAAGCAAAAUUUUUGAUGGGUAUCCACGUUAAAGUUGCAAACAUCAAAGAUGAAUUGGAGAUCAUUCAGUCCUUCCUCAAGGACGCAGAUGCUAGGACCGAAAUAGGGGACAUGAGCAACGUUGAGAAAACAUGGGUGAAACAGAUAAGGGAAGAAGCUUAUCACAUAGAAGAUGUUAUUGACGAAUACAUACUUCAUUUAGCAAAAGGUUCUCAUGGGCGAAAGCCAGGAUUAUAUUUUCUCCAUAAAGUUUUUCGAUUUACCAUAAAAUUGAAAGCAAGAAGUGUUAUAGCCUAUAAGAUUCAAGAUAUCAAUAAAAAUCUCAAGGAAAAGAGAGAGCGGGCUGUUAGAUAUCACUUCAACACUAUAAACCAAGGAGGAUUGGGCAGCGACACUAGAAGUGAUACAUGGCUUGACCCUCGAGUGGAAUCCCUUUUCAUUGAGGAGGCUGAGGUUGUGGGCAUUGAGUCACAUAGAGACAAUUUGAUAAAUUGGCUGGUAGAAGGAUCAUCUAAUCGCAUGGUGUGUUCGGUGGUCGGCAUUGGUGGGCUUGGCAAGACCACUCUUGUUAAAAAGUGUAUGACAAUGAGAAGAUUGUAUCUCACUUCAAUUGUUAUGCUUGGAUCACUGUGUCUCAAUCAUACAAGAUGGAGGAACUAUUAAGAGUAAUGAUAAAGCAGUUCUACAAGGCAAAGAAGGAGUUUGCUCCUAAGGAAAUUGACACAAUGAAAGUAAUAUCACUAAUUGAAGAAUUAAAGCACUAUUUGCGUGAACAAAGGUAUGUAGUAAUUUUUGAUGAUAUAUGGAAUAUAGGAUUUUGGGAACAUAUAAAAUGUGCUUUCCCAGAGAAUGACAAAGGAGGUAGAAUAAUAAUCACAACCCGAAGUGAGGAUGUUGCUCCUUCUAACAAAGAAUCUCCAUAUUAUUAUGUGUACAAGUUACCACCUCUACCUUUAGAAAAAGCUUUGGAGCUUUUCUACAAGAAGGUAUUCCAAAGGGAAAGGGGGCAAUGUCCUCCUGAGCUUUAUGAUUUGUCACGUGUAAUAGUUGAAAGAUGCGGAGGGUUACCUCUAGCAAUUGUGGCUAUAGGUGGUCUUUUGUCAACCAAAGCCAAGGUUGUCUCUGAGUGGUGCAAAGUUCUUGAUGGUCUUAGUCUAGAGUUUGAAACUAAUUCCCGCCUUAGAAGUAUCACCAAGAUUCUAUCCUUUAGUUAUUGUGAUCUACCUUACAAUCUCAAAGCAUGUUUCUUAUAUUUGGGCAUGUUUCCAGAGGAUUACUCUAUUAAUUGUGCUAGACUAACUCGGCUAUGGAUAGCUGAAGGUUUUGUAAAAGAAAAGAAAGGGAAAGUGUUGGAAGAUGUUGCACAUGAUUGCUUGAGUGAACUCAUUCAUAGAAGUUUGGUUCAAGUGGCACAAGUUGAUUUUGUUGGCAAAGUUAGAACUUGUCGGGUUCAUGAUAUGAUGCGUGAGGUUAUUGUUUCUAGGUCAGAAGAAUUGAGUUUUUGUCAUGUUUCAAUGAGUAAUUGCUCAAUUUUUAAUGGAAUUGGUCGGCACCUCUCCAUUCAAAACAAUGUAAAUACUCCUUUGGAGGGUACUUCUACUUCCCAAACUCGUUCUAUUCUUAUGGUGGGGGUAGUCGAGGUAUCCAAUUAUUUUCUUACUACCUAUUUUGAAAAUUUUAAGCUCAUGAAAACACUAGAUUUUGAAGGGGCUUCUAUAGAUUACAUUCCUAAAGAAGUGGGUAACCUAUUCCAUCUAAGAUAUUUAAGAUUGAGAGAUACUAAAGUACACAUUCUUCCAAAGUCUAUAGGUAAACUACAUAACUUAGAGACUUUGGAUUUGAAACGUUCCCUUGUGUCCGAGCUACCAAAGGAGAUCAAUGGGCUCCUUAAACUACGAUAUCUUGCGGCCUACUUUAUAAAUCGUGAUAUUGAAUAUAAUAUUGAUCAUCGGCGUGCGGUAAAGAUAUCAAGUGGUAUUGGGAAGUUAGAGUCCUUACAGAAGCUUCAUAAAGUGGAAGUCAACAACAACACCCUUAUUUCAGAAUUGGGAAGAUUGAGGCAAUUGAGAAAGUUGAGUAUCUCCAAAUUGAAGAGAGAAAAUGGGAUUGCUUUGUGUACUACAUUGGAGAAAAUGAUCCACCUUCGGUCAUUGAAAAUCAGUGCAAUAAGUGCGCAAGAAGUUAUUGAAUUACAAUCAAUGUCUUCUCCUCCACUCCUCCUACAAUCUCUUGUCCUAAGAGGGCGACUUGAAAACUUGCCAGAAUGGAUUCCUAAACUCAAGAGUAUAGUUAGAAUUGGUUUUACUUGGUCAAGAUUAAUAGAAGAUCCAUUAGAGAUCCUUCAAGCUUUACCUAACUUGAUGAAUCUUGUGAUUUACCAAGGAUAUGAAGGUGGACAAUUACAUAUUGAGGAAGGAGGCUUCCAGAAACUCAAGUUUCUAGGGCUCACAAAUUUGAAAAAUUUGAAUAGGUUGAUAAUAGAUGAAGGUGCCCUGCCUCUUCUUGAAAAGAUUGAAAUUGGACCUUGCCCACUACUGGAGGAGGUGCCCUCUGGCAUCCACCACCUGAAAAACCUCAAAGAUUUGGAAUUUUUCGAAAUGCCGAGGGAAUUUGUGCUUAGUAUGCAACCAAAUGAAGGCCCUGAUUUUUGGAAAGUCAAGCAUGUUCCUUUUGUUUGUUUUUGGUAUAGGAUUCAAGGGGAACGCUACAAAACCUACAAGCUUGGUGAUUUAGAGUUGUUGGAGCAUCUGCGAAGGUAAGUCAAGAGGUGGACAACCAAAGUGCCCUCAACAUUUUUGAGAAAUCACAGGCUUCAAAUACCAACAUCUCAAGGAUAUUCAAGUGCCAGAUCGUACAGGAUAUAGUUUUUCUCUCAAUCAACCAGAAUAUCAGUGGCUGAUUCUCUGCCUGACUGCCUUUGUCAUUAUAUUGUUGUUGUAAUUAUGUUGUCACUAUUGCUGUAGUAUUGCUACCUGAU